rnacentral:rRNA from 1 species
UCUUGUGAAAUCUAAUGGCUUAACCAUUAAACUGCUUGGGAAACUGAUAGUCUAGAGUGAGGGAGAGGCAGAUGGAAUUGGUGGUGUAGGGGUAAAAUCCGUAGAUAUCACCAAGAAUACCCAUUGCGAAGGCGAUCUGCUGGAACUCAACUGACGCUAAGGCGCGAAAGCGUGGGGAGCAAACAGGAUUAGAUACCCUGGUAGUCCACGCCCUAAACGAUGUACACUAGUUGUUGGGGUGCUAGUCAUCUCAGUAAUGCAGCUAACGCAUUAAGUGUACCGCCUGGGGAGUACGGUCGCAAGAUUAAAACUCAAAGGAAUAGACGGGGACCCGCACAAGCGGUGGAGCAUGUGGUUUAAUUCGAAGAUACGCGAAGAACCUUACCUGGGCUUGAUAUCCUAAGAACCUUUUAGAGAUAAGAGGGUGCUAGCUUGCUAGAACUUAGAGACAGGUGCUGCACGGCUGUCGUCAGCUCGUGUCGUGAGAUGUUGGGUUAAGUCCCGCAACGAGCGCAACCCACGUAUUUAGUUGCUAACGGUUCGGCCGAGCACUCUAAAUAGACUGCCUUCGUAAGGAGGAGGAAGGUGUGGACGACGUCAAGUCAUCAUGGCCCUUAUGCCCAGGGCGACACACGUGCUACAAUGGCAUAUACAAUGAGACGCAAUACCGCGAGGUGGAGCAAAUCUAUAAAAUAUGUCCCAGUUCGGAUUGUUCUCUGCAACUCGAGAGCAUGAAGCCGGAAUCGCUAGUAAUCGUAGAUCAGCCAUGCUACGGUGAAUACGUUCCCGGGUCUUGUACUCACCGCCCGUCACACCAUGGGAGUUGAUUUCACUCGAAGCCGGAAUACUAAACUAGUUACCGUCCACAGUGGAAUCAGCGACUGGGGUGAAGUCGUAACAAGGUAACCGUAGGAGAACCUGCGGUUGGAUCACCUCCUUUCUA